UAACAUACAACAUUCAAAAUGAUUUCAAAAGCUCGCUUUUGAUUCGUUUCGAAUACAACCACCAACAACACCAUACCGCAUUUGAUACCCCAUACCAAUAGCUCUAUGAAGUAUUUAGCAAUUUUUGUAUAGCCAAUCCUAUUUAUUCCUUCUAUAC
rnacentral:misc_RNA from 1 species